UGCACUGAAAUUUUAGCCCUGUCUCCAAUUGAAGCACGAAAGAUAUGAGUUAAGAUAGAACACAUGAUUUUAACUGUGGAGCAUCACCUCAGGAAGAAGAAUCAAUGAGUGUACCUCCUUGGGAGGUAAAGUGCCAGUCAUUUAAGGAGAGAACACAGGAUUUUCCUGAUGCCUAGUGUACUUCACAGGAGUUUGCAGGUUUGCACUGAAAAAGCAAUCAAGAGUCUCAGGACACUUUACAGACAGAGAUAA
rnacentral:lncRNA from 1 species